rnacentral:rRNA from 1 species
AGGACGAACGCUGGCGGCGUGCUAACACAUGCAAGUCGAACGAGGUAUUGGAGAGCUUGCUCGAAGGUAACCGAGUGGCGGACGGGUGAGUAACGCGUGAACAAUCUGUCUCACACAGGGGAAUAACGCAUCGAAAGAUGUGCUAAUACCGCAUAGGACCACGGUUUCGCAUGGAGCUGGGGUGAAAGGAGCAAUCCGGUGUGAGGUGAGUUCGCGUCUGAUUAGAUAGUUGGUGAGGUAACGGCCCACCAAGUCAACGAUCAGUAGCCGACCUGAGAGGGUGAUCGGCCACAUUGGGACUGAGACACGGCCCAGACUCCUAUGGGAGGCAGCAGUGGGGAAUAUUGGGCAAUGGGCGCAAGCCCUGACCCAGCAACGCCGCGUGAAGGAAGAAGGUUUUCGGAUCGUAAACUUCUGUCCUAUGAGAAGAUAAUGACGGUAUCAUAGGAGGAAGCCCCGGCUAACUACGUGCCAGCCGCCGC